GAUGAACGCUAGCGAUAGGCCUAACACAUGCAAGUCGAGGGGCAUCACAUGAAGUAGCAAUACGGAUGGUGGCGACCGGCGCACGGGUGAGUAACACGUAUGCAACCUGCCUUCAACAAGGGGAUAACCCGUUGAAAGACGGACUAAUACCCUAUAACACAGGGGUCCCGCAUGGGGAAUAUUUGUUAAAGGACAACCGGUUGAAGAUGGGCAUGCGUUCCAUUAGCUAGUUGGCGGGGUAACGGCCCACCAAGGCAACGAUGGAUAGGGGAACUGAGAGGUUUAUCCCCCACACUGGUACUGAGACACGGACCAGACUCCUACGGGAGGCAGCAGUGAGGAAUAUUGGUCAAUGGACGCAAGUCUGAACCAGCCACGUCGCGUGAAGGAAGACGGCCCUACGGGUUGUAAACUUCUUUUAUACGGGAAUAAAGUGCCCCACGCGUGGGGUUUGCAUGUACCGUAUGAAUAAGGAUC
rnacentral:rRNA from 1 species